AUGGGCUCUGAAGAAAUUCACACUGCCCCUUCCAUUCAUGAAGAGAUUCCAGCCACUAGUGCUGAUGAAAAAGUUGCUGAAGAAAUGGAGGCCCAGGCUGCUACUGAAGCAGAAGCUGAUAUUCCUCAGCCUACGGCUCCGGAGAUUGACAUUCCUGAGGUUAUUCUUCAACUGACUGAUACACCUCAUCCAACUCCAAAGAAUCCAUUCUCCAAGACUCUGAAAUUCAAGGCUGAUGCCUUCUUCAACGAGCAUGUAUUCUUCACUAACUACAAUCCCUAUGAUUCUGCUCGUCUAAAGAGGAAGCGCUUCUGGACUGCCAGCCAAGAAAAUUUCUAUUCUUCAGUACUCUUUAACAAAGACAAAGUCUUCGACCACAUGCAUAUUACUCUUGUCGAUAUGGAAUCACUACCCUGCUUCACUCCAGUCCUCACUGCUAUUCAUGAUGCUGGAUUGCUCAAUUUCUACACUGUCAUCUGUGAUUGGAAUGAAGAACUCAUUCUUCAAUUCUAUGCGACGCUGCACAUCACUAGAAAUGAUGAAGAUGUGAACUCUUGGGUGUUGGACUGGAUGAUAGAAAACACUCACUAUAAGGCACCGGCCACUGAAUUGCUUCGUGCCCUGCCUGUCAGUCCUCCCCCAGAAGGUGCGCGUCUCAUCUAUUCUGAAACUGAACUAUCUAAUCACUAUAUGCAAGUUCUGAUGAAGCCAUUGACGCCUGGUCAAGCUUCAAGGAUAAAGUUCCUUGUGAAGGAAUUGCAAUAUGUGCCAAGAACAGUAUAUCACAUUCUGACCAAGACUCUGAGUCCUAUCAAAGGCCAUGAUUCAAAUGAUGAAGAAGUCAUUGGCAUCAUGAAGAAUCUGCUUUUCAAUAGCAUGCACGGUAUUCUCGUGAACUACCAUGAUUUCUUCAUGAGGACUUUGGCGAAUGUUGCAAUGUCUCCGUUUGAGUUGAAGCCUUAUGCGCCCUGGAUUAUGAGAUUCCUGAGAUCAAGGUCUCCACUCAACUACAAAGCUGAUACACUCAACCAUGGCAGCUACUUGCCCCCAAUUGAAGUCCUCAAACGGACAUUUUCCUCAGCUGAUGAGAAGGGCAAGGCCACUGGUAUCAUAGAUGAAGGCAAUCAUCCAUUGGAUGGACAGUUUCACAACGCUGCUUCUUAUUCCACCAAUGAUGAUUCUGCUACUCAUGACUCUGCCGCCAAUGCUUCAAAGCAAAGUCCUCAGGCUAUAGCUCCAAGGGUGAUGACUGAUCAUGAGCUUCUCCUUAGUCUUCAUCAAAAGGUGGAUCGCAAUCACAAAUGGGUAAAGCGUCAGUUUGACGUUGUUGUUCACAACAUGACUGUAACUUAUAAUUCAGUGAAGAAGAACCAUUAUUACCUCAACGAAGUGUUUGAUCGCACCUGGGCUGUUCUGACUCAUCUCUACGGUGAUGAAGAUUUGAAGCAAAUGGGUUUCCAACAAGACUUCGAUUGGUCUAAACCUUCACCGAAGAAAUUCAAGAAAGUUGAAGUUCCUCCUCUGGUGCCCAGCUCAUUUUCCUCAUCCUGCGAGACGGAUGAAAAUGAAGAUUUGGAAGACACUGUGGCAGGCCCUACUACCACAACCGACCCUGACAACGCUGGCGCUCCUCCAUCGACUUCGUGA
rnacentral:rRNA from 1 species